CUACACUUGUCUCAGGUCUCAGGUGUCAGGCUCUGGAGCACUCAGGCUGACUCAGAAACUGACUCUCGGGGGAUCAAAAAAGGAGCAACUGUUCAAAAAUGAUGGAUCCCAUUUUUCAAGACUUGCCAUGCCACACAAGAUGAGACCCCACCGAGACAGGCUCUAACAGGCAUCAGGAAAAGAGGAUGCAGUGUGUUUCUUCACAGGGUCAGACCAGGGAGCUCCAGCCGGCCGGAGCUCCAGGUGUUUAUUCUGGUUUCACACUUGGUGCCCCGGCCCCUCCACCUUGCCGUCCCACUGCCUCUGUGGGCGGCGGGAGGGCGCCACGUGUCGGUGGGGGCGUCCGUGGGCGACAGCGCUGACGUCAGGAAACAAGGCCCCACCCACACAGCCUGGUUUUCAGUUUCACCAGGCUGCAAACACCAUUAUGCAAAUUAUUUUCCUCGCCCACACCCCCACCCCCAGCCCAGUCUUACAUAUUCAUUCUUCGGUCUGGAGUUAAUGGCCACCCGAGGCAACUGAGUAUUUGCAUCAUAUUUACUUUAAAAUGCCCAGGUGCAAUUUUGAAACAAGAUUCUCCUUUCGGAAGGGCAAUCGCGAAUAUAAAGUGAUGAAUUAGUAGCAGUGUCAAGAGUGAAGCCCCGAGGCGAACGCCAACUUCUACAGAAAAGGAGGUGGAAUGGCAGGUGCCGGGAAUCAUACAGAUUGAGGGAAGGCGACAACCGGGAGUGUGUCCUGACUCCUUCGCGGGGGCGGAGGGGAGACAGAGCCCGCGGAGAGUGGACAGAAUCCUCAUGGGUUUAGGAAAACAAAUGUCUAGCUCACAUUCAGGUCACGUUCUGGAAAUGGAGAAGUGCAGUCAUUUUUAUCUGCAUUUGCAAUUUAACUCAAGUGAUUUGAGGUACCGUCCACUCAGUCCAAAAAAAUCCCAACCAGAAGCAGUGUUAGUAAAAUGUGGAGGGGGGAAGGGGUGCCGCAAAGGGAUGCCCGCUUUUUACGUGAAAUUAUUUAGGGGUAUUUUAAUAUGAGUUUUAGACCGGAACCAUUCUUUUAAGCUGUAAUCACUAUCAUUUCAUUUAUGAGAGUCAGAUCAUCUCAGUGAAUGAUGUUGAAUUUUUUUUUCUAAAAGAUGUUAAGGGUUUCUCUCAGCAGAUACACGGGAGGAGCCGUUUCCAGGAGAGUCAUUUCUGCUUCCCCCAAAGACAUUCUUCCCUGGUCCCACAGACGCUUGGUUUCGUUUUCAAGGACCCACAGUUUUAGAAGGAUUGAAACAGCUGAGAAUAUUCAGGAAAGAGUGCCCAGACAGCAGGAGCUUGGUUAGUUAGGUGUGCAGCAGUCAAAGGAGCUUCGGCCCUGGGAAUGUCCUGGAGGGACAUGAGAACAGAUGGACUAACUGUUCUGUACCAAGGGACAGAAGGUGGAUCCGAAGCUGGGAAGUUUCCAGUAAACAGGCAGGUUCAAUGAAAACCAGAAUUUUUCAGCCAUGAGCAGGUGAUCUGGUGUCUGGUCACUGGAGGGGACAUCACAGAGUUGAAACAAGAGGUAUAGAGGCGUUGUAUGAGAUGGUCGUUGGGUCCUCUCUAACCGGGGCGCUGAGCCUGGGAAAGGAAUAAUAGCUUUGUGAAAUAUGACAGCAAGUGCCCAAGAGUAAAAUUAAUGCCGUAGCUGACAUUUUCUGUGCCCUACUCAGUAUGGAACACUGUGUUAAGUGUUUUACGCUCAACACUGGCAGCAGCCUCUGAAGCGGGUGUUAUCAUUUGCCUCUGUCUUACAGACGAGGAUGCUGAGCAUGCAGACGAAUUAUCCUAACUGGAGCAACUACUAAGUGGUGGGCUAGAAAUUCCAACCCUGGUCUGUGGGACUCCAGUGAUAAAAGAACCAGCACUCUCAAGGGAAGGGCCAAGCGGCUUGUACUGAAGAGUAUAAAAAGAAGAAAAAGUCCAGGAGAGAGACCUCAGUUCAUUCAGACAUUGCUUGUCUCCACCUGGUCCUCACCUUAGUCAUUGGCUACCUGAACAGAACAUGCGGGAGAAAUUAAGGUCAAAAAUUGCAAAGUAAAAUAAACAAAGACCAGAAAUCCAGCACAGAAUUCAGACCCAAAGACCACCAAAGAUAGCCAGCUGUUUGGAGGACGGUCAUAUACAACUUGAACUUGAAAGGUACACGGAAAAGACCUGGAGGAGGUGGAAUGGAUGGAAG
ensembl:lncRNA